rnacentral:rRNA from 1 species
UGGGGAAUUUUGGACAAUGGGCGCAAGCCUGAUCCAGCCAUGCCGCGUGCGGGAAGAAGGCCUUCGGGUUGUAAACCGCUUUUGUCAGGGAAGAAAUCUUCUGAGUUAAUACCUCGGGAGGAUGACGGUACCUGAAGAAUAAGCACCGGCUAACUACGUGCCAGCAGCCGCGGUAAUACGUAGGGUGCAAGCGUUAAUCGGAGUUACUGGGCGUAAAGCGUGCGCAGGCGGUUUUGUAAGACAGAGGUGAAAUCCCCGGGCUCAACCUGGGAACUGCCUUUGUGACUGCAAGGCUUGAGUGCGGCAGAGGGGGGAUGGAAUUCCGCGUGUAGCAGUGAAAUGCGUAGAUAUGCGGAGGAACACCGAUGGCGAAGGCAAUCCCCUGGGCCUGCACUGACGCUCAUGCACGAAAGCGUGGGGAGCAAACAGGAUUAGAUAGCCCUGGUAGUCCACGCCCUAAAACGAUGUCAACUGGUUGUUGGGAAGGUUCCUUCUCAGUAACGUAGCUAACGCGUGAAGUUGACCGCUUGGGGAGUACGGCCGCAAGGUUGAAACUCAAAUGAAUUGACGGGGGUCAU